rnacentral:lncRNA from 1 species
UGCGCCCUCUUAUUCUUCAUGCGAGAAAAAUUUUUUACAUAAAUUUUUCUUAUACUUAGAAGCUUUUCCACAUCCACAUCUGAUUCCUUUUGAAUUAAAAAUUGAUUAGUUUAAAUUUUAAUUCAAAUGGGUUUGAAUUUGAAUGAAAACCUAGAGUCUAAAUUGAGUUGGACUCUUCUCUUCACGCCAUCACCUUUCUCUACGCAUAAAGUAUUUUUGCAUAAAAUUUUUUACACUAGUCUAAUAUUGAUUGACCCCUCUCUAAGUUUAUAAGAUAAAGAUAAAGUUUAAUUUAAAAUUUAAUUUAAAUUUGAAUUGAAUUGGUGAUAAAGAUCAAUCAAUAUUUGAAAUUGAACCGAAACUACCUUUUCCUUAUCCUUAUCUUUCAUAGGACAUCACCCUUAAGAAGGGAUCAGUUUUGUACAAGAUUAGAAGUGAUUUUUAACAUAAAAGAUCUGAGAGUUGGGGCAUAAAAAGUUGAGAGUAGGUUGGGCUUUCGUGCAUAAGAAACAGAGGAAGUGUUCUUCCUCUCGGGCAUGAGGUGUAGGGUUUAGGGUUUCAACUCUAGAUUUUGUGAGAAGAAAAAUACAAGAGUGAGUCAUGUUCAAUCUUUCACACUACCACCUCCUUGUAAAACUUUAUUUUUUGAUCUAAAAAAAUUUAAAAGAUUCGAAGAAAAGAGUUUGGAUCAGCCAUCUAGAGCUUUCAACGUAAGCUAGCACUCCUAUGAAGGAAGAUCCAAUCAGAACUUCGAGUGGACAAUCUGUAGAGGCUGGAUGACCUAUGUGGCUGCUCGACAUCAGCAAAAAUUUUAUACCAUACCUACCAGUAGUGA